UUUUUUUUUUUUGUUUGUGAAGCCAAUACAAUAAAAUGUGUAAAACAUUUUCCAAAAAUCAUUUUCCGCAAAACAAGCAGACCCUAAGUUACGCAAAUGUGAGAAAAUCUCAUGAUUACUAUAUCUGCAAUGACUGCAAUAGCAUUUGUUAUUUCCACAACAAACACACCCUACUCUUUAAUUGCAUUUCUAGACCGUUUCUAUUCCUAAGACAAUUCAGGAGACCUUGAGUCAUCCCGAUAGGUGUGAUGUUAAUCUCUACCGGAUAUGUGAAGACAAGUAAUCAACUAGGUGACAUCUUCACAAGGCUUUAAUUGGACUCAGUCGAUUAUCUUUGUAACAAGCUAGGCAUGAUUAACAUCUAUGCUCCAAUUUGAGAAGUGUUACACAGUCGUAUAACGUAAUAUUAGCAACCAAUAAUGCAUAAUCUUAGGGAUCAUAUUAUUAGGGAUUUAAUAGGUUAUUAUUUUUUUGAGUUAUUUCCUUCUGUAAACUAUGAUAACUUAUAUAAAUAGCUACUUCUAAGAGGAAUGGAAGUGUAUAAUUUCCCUCCCUACUCCAGGCAAACUCACUUAACACAUGAAAUGCAAGCCAAACUUUGAAAUAUGAUAAAGGAUACUAGAUUUUCAAGUGAAGAAUCCUGCUCCAGUUUUAAUAGCAUAAGCUAAUAAAGCAUAAAAAAGAAGUUGAGGAAUAUUUAUUAGAAUCUCACACUAAUAAUCUUAAUUUUCUCUCUUAUCUCAUCAAUUGCCUAUUGCACUAAUCACAUGUAACACUUUACACAUUAACAUGUGCGCUAGAGCAUAGACAACAGUGUAAUGAAAAUGCCAUGUACAUAGAACUGUCAUUAGCUAUCACCAUUCAUGGUUGAAGACAAACUACGAAUUCUGAGACUAAAAGAACUAGUAACAAACACAAUCUCACAAUUGAAAGUUAAAACUUCAAAGGAAUAACACCAACACAUACCGGGAGGAAUUUUGAUGAUUUCUUCAUCACAGCUAUUGAACUGCCAAGACAACCUGAUCGCUGCCAGAAGAAAUUUAAUUGAAUCUUAGCCGCGGAUAGCAAUAGGUUAAAAUGUCAAAUAGAAAAUUUAGAAGCACUGCAAAUGUUUUUUAGAAUGCACAUUUCAACUACAGACCUGAGCCAGAACCCAUCCAACUAACCAAUCAAUAUCACUUCUGUGAUUGGGUAAGAGAAGGGCAUGUUCCUUACCUGGAAAAAUUUACCAUAUCAGAUGACAAAAACUCAAAAGAUCUAGGAUAGAACAAUAACCAUUAUACAUGUAACUCUAAGUAUUUGCUUGGUACAAAGGAUGGAAAGGAGUGAGGCUGGAAAAUUUAUUAAUCAAAUGGUUAAGAUUCAUAACUACUUUCGUACUUUGUAGCUUAACCAUUAGAUUAAUAAAUUUUCCAUUCUUCAUACCAAGCAGGGCCUAAAGACCAAGCCCUAAGUUUCUUAAUAGAGGAGAUUGACGUUACCCAUUAAACUGAAGCUUUCAUUAUCUGCAAAAACAUUAAUCUGCAAAUAAAAUGUAUCAAAGAUCGAAAGUUAAUCUCCAGGAGACCACUAACGAGGUGACAUUGAUGGUACGAGUUAUUUUCCCACAUUAACAGAAGUUGGUUCAAUAGAUAACAACUUUUUCAUAUAACACCUAGCAGCCCUUAAAGAAGAUAGGAAACUUUACAAGCUAGUUCAACUCAUAUUUACCUAAUAUCUAGAAGGAUUGACAAUGCAACAGUCUUUAAGCUUAUGAAACCAGAAAUAAGAGUUGGCAAACAGACUUCACCUAACUAAUGCGUACCCAUCAAAUGGAAUUAGCAGGUCCUUGGAGGCAAGUAAAUUUUGCACCACACAACGAUACAAAUUUCUAACAUCUUUGUGUAAGUACUAAGUAAUCCGAUAUAAAUUUGAGAUUGCGAAAAUUUCAAUCAUAAUCAUUGACUGAAAGUACCACAACCACACUCGAAAUUCCAAAGGACGCAAUGAAAACCUUUUACUGAUUCUAUAUCAUGGCACUUACAAUGUAAAGAUUAUUUUUAAGACCUACCUUAGUCUAGUUGGAAACUGAAAUAUAAAGCAAUUAGGCAUUUGAUCAUCAUAAAUUGUUGUCUCAGGUUUCAACAUUAAACUAUACUACGCCAGAGGAUUUCAGCAAUAGACUAUACUAUCUUAAACAAUGCAAUCAAGGAGCUUAUUAGCACCUUAACUCCUGCCCACCAAUCAACAAGCCAUACAAGUUGAAGCCACAACAACUCUGCCACAACACGAUUGAUCUUUCUAUACGUCUUCUUGGACAGAGGCCGAAUGAGAACAAAGCAUACCGCCUAGAAAAAGCACCAGAAGGUAUAAGAUUGAAAAUGGUCAUUGACCAUGAUAUUCAAAAAAAAAAGAAAAAGUUUUACACAUCAGCCAAUGAAACAAACUGGAUCAACUUAUCUAACACAGUAAAUUUUGAUUACUACAAAAACAAAGGCAACAAAAAUGGAUUCUAAGUCCCAUUUUUAGCAUUAAGUUGGUAUGGUGAAAAAAGGAGUAAGCAAACAAGGCAACAAAAGAAGCAGCUUGUACAAGCUUAAAUCAAAUAUCCCAAUGUAAUUUUCAUUUGCUCCUGAACUUUAUUAUCUCAGAAGUGAAGUAGAUUCAAAGCCCAAAUGUACUUAUGCAAACUCAUUAAUAAUUCAGCUCAAAAGAUGAAAUUAAAAAAAAAAAAACCAUUUACCGGCAUUUUCCUUUCAAUGCAACCACAACAAAUUUGAAAACAAAAAGAAAUAAAAAAAAUGCAGACUGCAACAUUCAACAAAGAAAGAAUAAUAGAAAACCAGAAAGCAAUAAUUACCAAAAAAAAAAAACGUAAUUAAAUCAAAAGAUGAAGCAAAUCCCUCAUUGAAUAUAUCAAAAAUAAAAAAUAAAACCCAAAAAGGAACCUGAAUGAGAUUGACAAAGAGGCCAGAGAUAAAGAAAAGAAUGCCCAAUGGAACGAUGACAGUUGCUGCUGCAAUCGCCAUGGACCACAACUACUUUAGCUCUAGAGAUUCGUGGCAAAAGGGUGGGUUUGUACUUUGUAGUAAGAUUUUAGAUUUGGGUUGAUAACAAGAAUUAUAUUUAAGAUUUAUUGGUUGAUAAAAGAAGAUUAUUACUCCUUUCUUCAGUAUGGGAUAAUUGAAUUCAUUCAAGAAAGAUUGUUCAUACAAAAGAAAAUAUUUUUGAAAGAACAGUGACUGUUGUAAAACUGAGUGAAUUGUAGAGAUUGGAAAAUCUUAAAUAAAUAGAAAAAAGAAGGGAGGAGAAACCGAUGAACACACACACACACACGCAAAAAAUAAACUUUCAAUUCAAAGCAGUUUUCUCGUUUCAAGGAAAAACAAAAUGACAGGUAAAUUGGGGACCCAUCAAUGCACCCACCCCGUAAUCAUUUCCACAUUAAUUAUUAAAAAUAGGGUUAAUAUACUAUUUGGUACCUAUAUUUUUUUGAAUAUUUAAUUUAGUACUUCAAUUUUUUUCUCAACUUGUACUUGAGUUUGGCUUUAAUGUUUAAUUUAGUUCCUGAGUUUUUUUUUUCUAAAUUGAUACCUUGAGUUUUUCUUUGUCCCAUACAAGUACUUAAGUUUGACUUUAAUGUUUAAUUUGAUACCUAAAUUUUUCUUUUGUCUCAAUUAAGUACCUAUGGUUUUUUUACUAGAGCAUAGAUGUCAAAUAUUUAUCGAACCAAAUGAUGUUUUUAAUUUAAGUACCAAAUUAAACAUUGAAGCCAAAUAUAAGUAGCAAAUGAUAUGUUUUUAAUUUAAGGCCUAGAAGGCUCGACCGGUUCGGACAUUUCGCGUUGCAUAUGUCGUAAUGGUGCGCCCUCGGCCCCGGUGGGUUUGGAUUUGCACCCCCGCUGCGCGCGAGGGAGAGCAUUAGUUUAGUUCAUUCAAUAACCACCAAGUUGGUUAAUAUAUCAUUUGGAAAUUAUUAUUAAUUACUAAUAUUUAUAACUUUUCAAUAAUGAUUUAGUUGCUUUAUUAUUAUUACUUUUUGUAUAAAUUAAGUUUAUAUAUUGAGCCGAUCGAGUCUUAGCUCAUUUGACAUCGACAUUGUUACUAGUAUAGGAGAAUGUAGAUUCAAGCACACUGAAAUGUGUUUGUCCUCCUAUAUAAGAUUGGGGAGGAAUUAUAAGUAGUUAUAAACAUUAAAUAAAAAAUUAAAUUUAUAUACUAAAUUUAAAAUUAUGUAUUUUUCAUCUUUUAUAAAAAAAAAUUGUAAUUCCUAUUUUUAUUAUAAUAAAAAUAUUUUUUUAGUAUUUGGAAAGAUAUUUAUUUCUAUUUUUAAUAUUUAGUAGUUGGGUUUUAGAGUUUCUUUCAAUGGACAUGUUUAUCUCACCUAAGAAAGUAAUUUAUUUCAUUUUAUUAUCAUUCUAAUAUUUUGAGAUCAAUGCAGGUUGCAAGCAUCCAUUGAAAUAAAACGACAACAUUUUUAUGGCAAAGUCUUGUGAUCAGUGGCAAAAGUCAUUUUUAUGGGUCGGAAUUAAAUUGUAUAUUUUUACAAAAUUAAAAGUGUAAUUUCAUCAUUUUAAUAAUUUAUAUCUUUACCAUUUUUAAAAAAAUUAAAUCAAAUUUUUAUCUUUUUUAAGGGACCAAAAUGUAAUUUUAUCAUUAUUAAUUUAAAAUUCUAUAAAUUAUAUUUUAGGACAAUAUCAUAACAACUAUUUUACCAUUGAAAACUUGCCUAAUCCUCGGUUCCAAUUAGAGGUGCUCAUGCGCCCGGCCCGACGGCCCGCCCGAAAUAUGGGAGAGUUUGGGUAAAAAUAUAGGCCCGAAAUAUGGGUUUGGGCAAAAAAACGAGGCCCGAUUAAAAAACGGGCCGGGCCUCAGGCACCACUUUUUUGGCCCGAGCCCGGCCUAGCCCGGCCCGAAAAUAAUAAAUAUCCCGGCCCGGCCCGGCCCGAAAAUAAUAAAUUUUUUUAUUUUUUUAUUUUUAAAAUACUUUUAAAAUACUUUUUUUUAAAUUUUUUAAAUUUUAAAAUUUUUUAAAAAUACUUUUUAAAUUUUUUUAAUUUUAAAAUAUUUUUAAAAUACUUUUUAAAUUUUUGUUUUAAUUUUUAAAAUAAAUUUUUGAUAUUUAUUUAAAAAAACGGGCCGGGCCGGGCCCGGGCUUAUGAAUUUUUCCCGGGCUGGGCCUGGGCAAAAUUCUAGGCCCAUAUUUCGGGCCAGGCCUAGGACCCGGGCCGAAAUUUUUUUCUGGGCCCGGCCCAUGAGCACCUCUAGUUCCAAUAGGCAUAUACAAAAUUACUACCAUCAACUAACAUUUAGGACUCUGGAUUUUUUUUAUUAUAAUAUCGAAAGAGUUGAAAAGAGAUGAUAAUAUUUGAACCAUUUAUUUAUCAAAUAAGAGUAGUGCUUCAAACUCUCUCAUCUCUUUCUUCUUCUCCAAUACCAUAAUGAUGAAAAAAUUUGAAGUGUCUUACAUUUUAAAAUAUUUUAAUUUUUACGUUCAAAACCUAUCGAUAAAACAAAUCAAUCUAUUAACAUUUUGCACUGAAUCUAACUAAGGGUGGGUUUGGAUGGGCGAUUGGGUGCGGUGCGGUGCGUUUAGCUUAUUUUUGUCUCACGCUACAGUAUCGCUACAGUAUCUAAUCUCACCGCCACCGCUGUUUUUAUACUAACCGCUGGAAAACGCACCGCCCAUCCAAACUCAUCCUAAAUCAAAGUUCCAACCUUUUAGAAAUUUUACCAUUUGUUAAUUAUUUUUUUUAUUUUAAAGAUUUUUUUAUUAUAACACCAUCGUGAUGUCAUCAUUUGACAUUUGACAAUUUAUAAUUGAUUGGAUAUUUCAAGUUAUGCUUUGUGUUAGGUUGAUUAUUUGUUCGGGUCAAGUUAUAGAGUAAAAUUUUGAAGGUUAAAACAUGUUUUGAGUUACUUUGAUUUUCAAGAUUUUAGCCUCUCUACUUUUUUUAUUUAAAAGUGCGAGUCCGUUGUUACUACCGUUAAAAUUUUUCUAUUGAAUUCACUACCGUGACGUUUUAAAAUUAAAAAGAUUCACUCAGUAAUCAAGUAAUAAUAAAAAAAGCUUAAUGAAAAAUUUGGCCAUUAAUGUUUGUAUGUUUUGUUAAAAUGACCCUAAUUAUAUUUUUGAGCCUUUCUUAACAAUCAACAUUUGUUUUGAAAUAUUUUUUAGAAAAUUAUAUUUAUUUUCUUUAAAUUAAAAGUUAUCUUUUUAAUUUCAUGUAGGAUUUAUUUAUUUUAUUAUUUUUCACAUGUAAUUAUCUUAUUAAGCUAUUUGAGUAAUAAAUUAUAUUUCAUUAAAAAUAUUCAACAUCAUCACCGUUAAUUCUUUUAACAGUACUUUACGAUAUUAAUUAUUUCAAGAAAUAAAAAUAUUUUAAAAAAUUAAAUAUAAAUUUUAAAUUUGGAUAUAUUAGAGGGAUAAAACUAAAAUUUAACUAUUCUUAUUAUAAUAUAAAAAAAAACCCCAUACCAACGUGUCAGUACAAGAACCCUGGCUUUUACAUACACCAACGUGUCCACAAACCAGAAUAGCCGAAUCAAAAUCAGAUUAAAUAUAAAAAUUUUCUUUUUAUCAUUCCCAAAAACCAGAAUCCAAUGGAGGAAAAGAAAUCCAAAAGGGCCAAAAAGAGAAGGAAUCUUUAGUCUAAACAACAAUGGCCAGCCAAUAGCAUAAUUUUUUUCCCCAACCACAAACAAAUAAUCAAAUUAUUUGGAUUUUUUUUCUUUCCAUAAAAGAUAAGAAAGCAAUCGAUGAUAAGAUGAACAUUGCUAAUAAUAAUAAUAAUCAAAUUUACCCAGCAGAAGAAAAUUUGUUUCAUUCAUCAACCAUAAGCUUAAACAAAGACAACAGGUUAAUCAGAAAAGUUGGGGUUUUUUAAAGAACCCCAAUUUCAUAAAUGGCAAACAGCAAUCGUAGGUUUGUAUACCAGACCGUAUCAUCUCCAAAAACAUCCAAACUUCACAGCAAGAAAACAAAACUAAAAAAGAAAAGGAAUCUACCUAGACAAGCGAAAAAUGGAGUGGAAGAUCCGAGAGAACCCAAGGCGAAUACGAGGAUAAACCCUAAGCGUAUACAAGGUAGUCUGUCGUAGCAUAUCUUCGAUUGUCUCUACGAAUAGACUUAGACUUCGAAUCGGCGGUACAUAAAGGGUUAAUGGCACCGCCGAGAAAGCUACCGUGAAAAAGAGUUGCAGCAUCUGCUUUCUCUUCGUUUGGUCUUUCGAAUACCACUUUGGAAGUUUGAAGAAAAGGUUGAAUGUGGUGAGGGUGGUUUGAAUAGUAGUUGGGGGCAAAAGCGAAUUUGUGGAUGCCAACUCCUAGCUUAUGGUAUCAGUUGACCUCUAUAUAGGUGGUUGAAUUACCUUCCCGUUUCAUUUUGUUUUAUACUUUCCUUUUU
rnacentral:lncRNA from 1 species